AAGGUUGACCAUACUCUACAGUUGUGUUUUAAUGUAUAUUAAUGUUACUAAUGUGUUUUCAGUUUUAUUGAUAGUCUUUUCAGUAUUAUUGAUAAUCUUGUUAUUUUUAGUAUGAUUCUGUAAAAAUGAAUUAAUACUAAUUUUUCAGAUGUAUCAUCUCUUAAAAUACUGUAAUUGCAAUUUAAUAAUUGUAUUGAAUGCCAUCAAGUUUUUUUAAAAAGCUUAUGCAGCAUUAGAGGAAUUUAUUUUAAUGCACAUUUAUAUUCAACAUAGACAUUAAUUCAGAUUUUUACUUGGGAUAAAACAAAUUCUAGUUUUCCCUUUGUUUUGAAAUUACUUUUAAAAUAUGUCUUUACAGAUAAAUAUAAAAUAUAUUAAGCAUUUUGAACAGAGCUUAGAAGACAAUAUUUAGUACUGUUUCUGAAUAUUUCUUUAUAUCUGAAGGGGAAAAGCCAUCAAAAUAUGUGAAUUAAAUACCUAAAAUUCUGGUUGUCAAAACGUCACACUUAACCAUAACUUUAAAGGUAGAAAAACCCUUACAAGUGACCAACCCACUCAUUGGAUAGCUAAGGAAACACAAAACUCAAAUAAUUUGCUACACAUCACAGAUUGGGGUCUUAGUCUUAUGUCUUCUAACUUUAUAAUGGUAUACUAUUUUUUUCAUGUUUUUAUUAAAAUGUUUUCUUAAAUCCUUAGCCAAAGAUUUUUGUUUGAUAAGUCAAAAAUAAGGUCUUGUUUACUUUGUUUACUUUUUUGUAUUCAAGAUUUAACUCAGAGUAAGACCAAAUUAUCAUUGUAGUUUUAUUGAUAUAAAAUGUCAACAUAAUUUAAUUUUUUUUUUUACUUUUUUGUAUUUUUAAAAUUUUUUAUUAAAAAUAAAAGUAGACAGCCAGGUGCGGUGGCUCACGCACUUUGGGAAGCCGAGGCAGGCGGAUCACCAGGUCAGGAGAUCAAGACCAUCCUGGCUAACACGGUGAAACCCCAUCUCUAUUAAAAAUACAAAAAAAAUAGCCAGGCGUGGUGGCGGGCGCCUGUAGUCCCAGCUACUCGGGAGGCUGAGGCAGGAGAAUGGCAUGAACCUGGGAGGCGGAGCUUCCAGUGAGCUGAGAUCGCACCACUGCACUCCAGCCUGGGUGACAGAGGGAGACUCUGUCUCAACAAAAAAAAAAAAAGAAAAGAAAAGUAGAGCUGGGCACAGUGGCUCAAGCCUGUAAUCCCAGCACUUUGGGAGGCCGAGGAGGGUGGAUGACGUGAGGUCAGGAGUUCGAGACCAACCUGACCGACAUGGUGAAACCCCAUCUCUACUAAAAAUACAAAAAAUUAGCCGGGCGUGGUGGCACAUGCCUGUAGUCCCAGCUACUCGGGAGACUAAAGCAGGAGAAUUGUUUGAACCGGGGAGGCGGAGGUUGUAAUGAGCCCAGAUCGCGCCAUUGCAAUCCAGCCUGGACAACAAGAGUGAAACUCCAUCUCAAAAAAAUAAAUUAAAAUGUAAAAAUUAAAACUAAAUAAAUAAAUAAAAAUAGAGACAGGGUCUCACUAUGCUGCCCAGGCUGGUUUCAAACUCCUGGGCUCAAGCAGUCUUGCCUUAGCCUUCCACUGUGCUGGGAUUAUAGGCAUGAGCCACCACCCCUGGCCUAAUUUAAUUAAAAUCUGAACAAAAGGCCGGGCACGGUGGUGGCUUAUGCCUGUAAUCUCAGGCCAAGGCAGGUGGAUCAUGUGAGGUCAGGAGUUCGAGACCAGCCUGGGCAAUGUGGUGAAACCCUGUCUCUACUAAAAAUAAAAAAUUAGCCAGGUGUGGUGGCGGGCGUCUGUAAUCCCAGCUACUUGGGAGGCUGGGGCAGGAGAAUCACUUGAACCCGGGAGAAUCACUUGAAUUCCAGUCUGGGCAACAGAGCGAGACUCCAUCUUAACGGCAACAACAACAAAAAUCUGAACAGAAAUGCUCUAUUUACGUUCUUUUCCUUAUCUGUAGUGUUUUAAAGUCAUUAAACUUAAAAAUGAUGUUCAGGAGAAGAUGAGUGUAUUUGCAUAGUCUGUCAUAACUCUGGUAUUAUUUUGUACAAGGAGUGUGUUAGGGUUUUCAGUUGUAACCAUGCAGAAAAUCUACAAAAUAAAAGCAGUUGUUAAUUAGUCCUUUACAAUCAGAAUUGUCUAUUUUGGAAAUUUAUGAAGUACUUCAGAUGUAAUUUAAGAAAUUGUAUUUGAGCCAAGCGUGGUGGCUCACACCUGUUAUCCCAGCACUUUAGGAGCCUGAGGCAGGUGGAUCACAAGGUCAAGAGUUCGAGACCAGCCUGACCAACAUGGUGAAACCCCAUCUCAACUAAAAAUACAAAACUUAGCUGGGCGUGGUGGCGCGCGCCUGUAAUCCCAGCUACUCAGGAGGCUGAGUCAGGAGAAUUACUUGAAUCUAGGAGGUGGAGGUUGCAGUGAGCCGAGAUCACGCCACUGCACUCCAGCCUGGAAAGGAGGGGAAAGGGAAAGGAAAGGGGAAAGGGAAAGGGAAAGGGGAUUGUAUUCGAGGCUGGGCACGGUGGCUCACGCCUGUAAUCCCAGCACUUUGGGAGGCCGAGGCGGGUGGAUCCUCUGAGGUCAGGAGUUCUAGACCAGCUUGGCGAACAUGGCAAAACCCCGUCUCCACUAAAAAUGCAAAAAUUAGCCAGGCAUGGUGGCCGGGGCCUGUAAUCCCAGCUACAUGGGAGGCUGAGGCAGCAGAAUCGCCUUAACCCUGGAGGCAGAGGUUGUAAUGAGCCGAGAUCAUGCCACUGCACUCCAGACUAGGCGACACAGUGAGACUGUCUCAACAACAACAAAAAAGAAAUUGUAUUCAAAAGCUUAAGGACCUUUUUGUUUAAAUUCUAAUUUGAAGAUCAAAUAUUAUAUUAAAGUUCUCAUUUUUUAUCCAGCAAUAUUUUGUUCCCAAUAUACCAUACAUAGUGGAUAGAACUAAAUGCCAGCGUUUGCAUGGAAACACUGUCUUGGUGCUUUUAAAAAUCAUUUAUCAAUCUCUUAACUUGUUUUAUUUCCUUUCAACCAUUGCAUGAAAGACUUCACCAAAUAUAUAAUUUUUGAUUCCACUAAAAAUAUUCCAGGACUUAACACAAAUGCUUAGAAUAUUUAUUGAAUGAAUUACAAAGUUUACCCAAUACUGUCUAAUAUUUUUUAGAACAACCCAGGAGUUAGGUGUUUUUUGUUUCUUUUUCUUUGUAUUCCUAAAUGUAUCUGAAGUCAGGUUUUAGAAAAUUAUAUUCAAUCUGUCUUCUAAAUGACAAGAAAAAAUUUGCAUUUUACAUUUACCAGAUGAUUCUUUAUAUCUUUAAGUGCUCUUAAGUGUGAUGAAGGAUCAUUUGCAGCUUUUAUAGCUAAAUGAAGACUUUUCUUAUUUUUAAUCCUGACAAUGAAUUAAAGGAAAAUUGAAAUAUUUGAGAAGUAAGAAAAUAUAGGAAAAGUGUUGCAUUAAAACUUAUAGUAUGUACAUUCCAGUCUCUUCUUAGAGAAGAGGAGGUGGCCUGUCGAUAUCUAAUGAAAAAUAACAUUUAGGAAACUCUCAACAGUGCUGGAUGUUUUAUUUGUAGAGUUAUAAUUUUGAAACACAUAAGGAGCCAGCAGUAAAAUGAAAGUUUAUACCUUUUAGUGUUAAUCUUAUUUUGGCUUUUUGUUUUGCAAAACAAACUGCACAUAGUUAUAUAGGGGUAUAUAUUAAGUUUUCAUUUUUUCUUGUUUGGAAAAAAAUACUAAUCUUUUUCAUUUAGGUUUCUUUUUUAAUUGAUGCCAAAGAGUUCCAAUAUUGAACAUCUUAAGUCUGUUACUUGGAUUACGGAUUGAGUUUGGAGCUUACUCAGAGGACUACAGGAGAGUAUCCAGGAAGUAGCAAGAAAUGUGGAUAAUUACUGUACCUUCCUCAUGGAAAAAGUUUUAUUUAAAGUGUUAUUUCUCAUUGAAUACUAUCAAAAAGGAAAAAAAAAUGACCUAAACUUUUGAGAUAGAUUUGGCUCUAGUGCGGUACUUCACUAUAGUUUAUAAAAGAUGGUCCCUGUCAGCAAAGAACUGUAACCUGUAUGAGAAUAUUAUACUAACAUACAAGAAACAAGUAGAGAAUAAUGGAAUGUAAACUCUGGCUUGCUAACUUAAGUGUGGUAGAAGCUUGAAGGAAAUGUGGACUUAAACUUAUCAGAGAAGACUUAUAAGAGGAUAUGAAAGGUGUAAAUUUUGAUACCACCAUUGCCGCCUUCCCCUCAAAAAAGGUGAGAACUGACUAAACUACUGGUACUUAGACCAUGUGGAGAAGGAACUGAAAAUGGAAACAGAAACACGUCUGUACAGAGCAGAGUGUCAGAUAAUAGCUCAUUUUAGUAGAGGGCAAUAAAUGCCACAUGAGAUGAUCACCUCAGCAGAAAACUGUAAGUAACUGGGGACUUACAGGAGAAUUGAACAGUUGUUUCUGCUGACUCAGUAAAAAGUCUUCAUUUUAUAAUUUGUGGCCUGCAUGCUUGUAAAUUAAAAUGCAUUGAGUUGUCAAGUAAUGGACUUGUCUGGUUUGUAGGUAGGAAUUUAAGCCAAAAUUGAAUGCAACAUUCCCCCAGAAGUAACCUGGGAUCUGUGCCAUAAAACCUAAGGCAAAGGUUACAUGAAUUUGUAUUACUAGGUUAGAACUAGGCUAUUGAGCCUUUGCCUAGAAAACCAAUUAGAGGAUUUUGGUCUUGAUAUAGCAGGGAAUAGGGAGGCAUUAUAGCCUAUUGAUUUGUUUGGAAUUAAAUGUGGCAAUACUAUAUAUAGAAAUGUCUAAGAAAUAAAAUAUGGUAGCAAGGAAACUGGGCAUGUGACUACUGUAGUAAUCUAGGGGUGAAGAAACCUGAACAGCAAUAGUGGCAGGAGAAUGGAGGUGAAAGAAUAAAUUUAAGAUAUUUCAAAGGAAAAAGUUGUUGAAUAUCAUGAUGGGUUGGAUAAAAGGGAGGUGUAAAAGAUUAUACAUUUUCUAUACUGGAAGACAAUGGAGUUACCAAUGAAAGAAAGGAGAUAGUUAAGAAACUAGUUUAAGGCCGGGUGCGAUGGCUCAUGCCUGUAAUCUUAACACUUUGGGAAGCAGAGGUGGGUGGAUCCCUUGAGGUCAGGAGUUCGAGACCAGCCUGGCAAACAUGGUGAAACCCCACCUCUACUAAAAAUACAAAAAUCAGUCAGACGUGGUGGCUCAUGCCUGUAAUCCCAGCUACUCAGGAGGCUGAGGCAGGAGAAUCGCUUGAACCUGGGCAGUGGAGGCUGCAGUGAGCCGAGAUCAUGCCACUGCACUCCAGCCUGGGUGACAGAGUGACUCUGUCAAAAAAAAAAGAAAAGAAACUAGUUUAAGAGGGGGAAAAUAUGUUCCAUUUCUGCAAUGUAUUUAAGGUGAUAUUUAGGCGUUCAGCUUGAAAUGUCUUCAUUUAAGGUGGCUGGAUAUACAGAACUGGAAUUCUAUGUAAAAGUCAGGCUGGAGAGGUAAAUUUGGCAGUUACAUAAGGCUGAUAAGGGUAGAAAAGCUGACUGAAGCUCUUUAUGAAGGACAGUCGGUCCCUUUCUUUUAGAAAAAAUAUGAACACACAUUUAUGUAAAUAAACUAUAUCAUUAGUAUGUAAUCUUAAACAUUUCUAGAAUUGAAUAAGAACUCUCCCUUUUUUCCUUAGAGUGUCAUAUCUCAAGCGUGUGCCUGUUAGAAAAUCCCUACGCUUAUAUCAAUUAUAAGAGUCAAUGACUGAAAUGUGUUAAUACUCUUAAACCUUACCUUCUCUCAAUAAAACCAAGAUCUUUCCCAGUAUUAGGCUAAGGGAAUGAAAUUGAGAACUUAAAGUCCAAAUAAUUCAGUCAGUUAAAACUUUAUAAAAUUGACCUGGCUUUAAUUUCUCAAAUGGAAAGCAAGUAAUUGAAUUGGGGGAAGUGUGCUAGUCUCCAGUUUCAAGAAACAGUACAGCACAAAGACCUGGCAUUCUAGCUGAAGAGCUGUAAUAAUAAACAGAAAUUUGAAAACCAGGAAGACAAGUUUUCCAAGAGUGCAACUGUGGCAUUUCAAAGGAGAUUUAACAAGAAAUUCCGGAAGAUGGCCAAAAAUAGGUUUAGAUAAUUGAGAUUCUUUAUUUGAAUACUUGUUUUUGAUGGAGAAACAUACUUAAGAGGAAAUGAAGGUUCUGUCUAAGGUCUGAAACUUUUUUUCACCCUAAAGCAGGUUUGCUUCUGAAGAAAACUAUUAGCAAAAAAAAAAAUCAAAUAGGAAUUCAGUGCUGCUUAGAUUGUAGGAGUUUAAAAAGUGACCAAUGCAACCAUUUUUAGAAAAUUAAUUGAAAGGAACUAUUUUUGUUUUCUAGGAGCAAAACCUUGUUUUCUAGGAUUCCUAUUUGUAAAGUUAAAGUAUCUCUCUGUUUACCCAGUUAUUACUUGCCAUGAAAAAAUAGCCUCCCAGCAUCAGACAGAAAUACAAUGUUACUCUACAUCUUUAAUUGUUUUUUAUUCCAGUCAUAAAGCAGCUUCUGAAAUUGAUUUUUAAUAUGGUCUAUUUUAAUGAUAUGUAAGGAAACCUAGAAUGUUAAUCUGCAUUUCAAAUUAGCCUUGUAAAACCUCAGUAAUAUGUCUUCUGGAUAUAUCAGGAUCUUUUGGACCAUUUUACCUUGAUUAUUGAACCAAUUGAUUAAUCCAAAUUCAGUAAACUUAAAAUGACCUCAAAUUGGGUUACCCAGAACUAGGAAUAUUUCUGUAUUCCAUCCUACUUACAUCUGAUUUACAUGCCUGGUCUGCUAACUUCUUUCUUUUCAUGACUCCUAAGUUAUGGAGGUAAGUGAAGAUUUACUAUCAAUUAUAGUCAUGUGACACUCAUUUUGAACUUACAUUCUCUUAGUUUUUUUAAUUUUAAGCAUGCUGGUAGCAUUACAUUGUUCUUAGCAAAUUAAGUAUAUCCCAAUUUUAACUGGACUAUUCUCUGCUUAAACAUAUAAUUUUGUGUAAUCUGCAACAAGUUUAUAUCCCCAUAUACAUCUAUAUUUUCAUCUCCUUUCCAUAUGGCAUUACCCAAAUAAACUUCUUUUUUUUCUUUAAUGGAGUCUCACUUCUUUGCCCAGGCUGGAGGGCAAUGGUGCAAUCUCAGCUUACUACAACCUCUGCCUCCCAG
rnacentral:lncRNA from 10 species